UAGGGAAUCUUCCGCAAUGGACGAAAGUCUGACGGAGCAACGCCGCGUGAGUGAAGAAGGAUUUCGGUUCGUAAAACUCUGUUGUUAGGGAAGAAAAAAUGUAUAGUAACUAUAUACAAAAGAGACGGUACCUAACCAGAAAGCCACGGCUAACUACGUGCCAGCAGCCGCGGUAAUACGUAGGUGGCAAGCGUUGUCCGGAAUUAUUGGGCGUAAAGCGCGCGCAGGGGGUUUAGAAAGUCUGAUGUGAAAGCCCACGGCUCAACCGUGGAGGGUCAUCGGAAACUAAUAAACUUGAGUGCAGGAGAGAAAAGUGGAAUUCCUAGUGUAGCGGUGAAAUGCGUAGAGAUUAGGGGGGACACCGGUGGCGAAAGCGGCUCUCUGGUCUGUAACUGGCGCUGAGGCUCGAAAGCGUGGGGAGCGAACAGG
rnacentral:rRNA from 1 species